rnacentral:lncRNA from 1 species
UAUUGAUUUUUUUCCUUACAACUGGACAAAAAUCAAUAUAAAGCUAAUACAAACUGAUUUAUGCUUUGUGCAACAUUCUUUAAAGCUUAAAUGAAUAUUAAUCCUUCAGGAGCUCAAUCGAUCCAAAUCUACCAAAUACCUUGAUUGACAUUAGAGUUCCAUACAAUUUAAACAUGCAAAAGGUGGUUUGGUCGACAAGAAUAAAAUUAUCAAUUACCCUCCAUGAAAGGUUUUUAAGCAAUACUACUUUCUAUCAUUUUAAGAAGGAAUUUUCAAUGAAAUAAUAUUUGUCAUUUAUACAACACAAUCAAUUAAAAUCGAAAAAUAAAAUCUUUUUACUAAGAACAGGUUUAUAAUUUGAAAUUUUUUCAUAAAUUAAGAUUAAAAAUUACAUAAAAUAAAAUAAAAAAAUUAGACCAAACAUUGAAAAAAUAUAUAUAUAGGAAUUAAAAAGUAACCUGCAAAGACAAAUACAAAGGAGGCUGUCCAAAAACAACUCUAUAGAUAAAUUGGUGGACUGCACAAAUCGAAGUCGAUAGAGAAAGAGUUGGAGAACCAAGUAAAACUAAAGAAAUAACCACCAUUUUCUCAAGAAGAGUAGUCUGAAUAGGAACGAUACUGGAGGCAAAAUCCAAUAAAUUAUUUUCAAAAUAUGAGAAAGUUAAGAGAUUGCCUUGAAAGACAGUAACAAGGGAUGUCCUUCAAAUUGAUGACCACCAAUUUUUCCAGAGAGACAAGGGAGGCAAGCUUUUGAACCUCUAAGAGAAUGAAGGGUCUUCACGUUUGAGCACACAGAGUUAUCACAAAAUAGGGUUUCCCGAUUCUUAUUCGGAUUGGGUCGGCUUUGCAGGUUGUAGGUUAAGGGUCCAGGCCUAGUGACGCAGUUGAAUGAUGUCGAAGAGCGUUGAAGAUGAAGACACAGAUGAACAGGUAAAGAAGACGAAGACAGUGAGGCAGAGACGCUUCGUGAAUUUUUUGCAACUUGAAAAGGAUAUUUUAUUCAAUUGGGACUUUUCUAUGGGCCGGGACAAUGAAAUUGGGCCAUUUUAAUUGGGUUGUAACAUAAAUUCUGGUUCGAG